AUGGAGAGUCGUCGUCCCCCCACUCAGCUGCGGCAACCACCAUACCUCCCUGAGAAUGUGAUAAUGUUGAUCCUCUUAUGGCUUCCUCUCAAAACCCUCAUGCAGUUCAAGUGCGUCUGCCGUUCCUGGAACUCCCUCAUCUCCAGCCCGAUGUUCGUCAAACUGAAAUAUCUCAGAUCACCGAAAGGCGCCAACUUCAUGUUAACCAUAGAAGAUUUGCAUGAUCCUCAACACCAUAUGAUCCUUGCAGUCCCCUGCUCCGUUCCUUCUUUGCUUAAUUUCCGCCUGUCAGCCGUUUACGAAUACAGUUCUUUCCCGAUAAUGGAUGAUUACUGGGUUGUAGGUACAUGCCAUGGCUUGGUCUGUCUCGCUGGCCCUAUUUGGGAGUCGGAGGAUUCCACUGAUGAGUUCUGGGUCAAGAUUUGGAACCCGGUAACACGAAUUGCAUCUGGAAGAUCUCCAAUUUUACACUGCAAUUCCUUUGUGUCGUUAGAGUUAGGUUUCGGCUUUGAUUACAAAAAUGAAGCUUACAAGGUGGUGGCUCUCAUCACGAGUUUGGAGGCUGAAAAGGAUUCUGAGAAAUGUCAGGUGAAAGUUUACACAAUGGGAGAUUCUGGUUGGAGAGACAAGGGAAGCUUCCCUGCUCUUCCAAUUGCAGGAAGAAUUAGGAACAAAAAUGAUGGAAUAUAUAUAACUGGCACCCUUAAUUGGUUGGCGUUGCGCAACUUCGAGGGUGAUAAUGCAUGGGAAGAUGUCACCGCUCUUGAUCAAGUGGAGAUAGUUUCUCUUGAUUUGGGGGAAGAGACAUACAAACAUUUUGCGCUCCCUGAUGGUCUUGAUGAACGCCCCAUACUUACGCCUGUUCUUGGGGUUUUGAACGAUUGUCUGUACCUCUGUCAUGAUUACGACACCACCAACUUUGUUUUGUGGCAAAUGAAGGAGUUUGGAAAUGCGACAUCUUGGACUCUAUUGCUCAAUGUUACAAAUGAGCAUCUUCAACUAGAUAACUUUUUCCUUGUAUCAGAGGUGUUUCCACUCGUGCCCAUCUGCAUGUCUGAGAAUGGUGAUGUUGUGGUGAUCUUAAGCGCAGAAGAUAUAGCAGUAAUUCACUAUGAUUUCAAAGAUGAUAGAGUAGAACGGCAUGCACUUCCCAGACGAGAAUUGUGGUUCCAACCGAAAGAUUAUGCUGAAAGCUUGGUUCCGCCUCUGUGAAACCAGAGCUUCAAGAACUUGAUGGAUUGUUGAUGGUAUAUGGAGGAAUCAAGAGAGGUGGGAAGGAUGAAAGGAGAAAGUCUCUUCCAUGUUGAUGUAUUUGUCGGUCCUUUCUUGAACGUCAAACAAGGAGGUUGGAUGUCUCUUGGAUAUGGACUAUGAGAAUGGACCAUCCCAGAGGCCAUUAAAGCCACAAGCCAUUGAAUGUCCUGAAGAAUAGGAUCUAUUUCGACUUCAAUGCUUGCUCUAAGGUUGCCCAAUUCAACAAAUAUUUUUUCCGUUUGUAAAUUUUUUGCUAAAUUCAGUGCACUCCUUAUGGCAUAGGUCUCUGUUGCUAGACUUGACGAGGCUACAAUUUUCUCAGUUGUCCCUGUGAUUAAUCUUCCUGACUUAUCUCUGAUCACUACGCCUGUAGCACCUUCCGCCAAGUCCUUUCGAAAAGCAGCAUCCAUAUUUGCCUUAAUCCACUCUCCGGGUGGUGGCUUCUGCCUUCUAGAUCACAUUUUGUUUUGUUCGAGUGUUCGAUACUUAAAAAAGGAAAUGGGCCUAUCCGCCUAUGUAGUAAAAAAAGGAGAGAAAGGAUUUUACUUGAGUAUUGUGGUUUAUUCCUGCCAUGCAUGAAUUAGUAUUAGAGUUCUGCUGUUAUUAAUAAAGUAUGAAGAACGUUGAAAUCUACAUUCAAUGAAGGUGACAAUUAGAAGCACCAUUGAAUAUUAGUAGGUAGGAUUUGAUUAUGUAGUUGUUCUUGUAAGCGUGGUUUUUUUGUUAA